rnacentral:rRNA from 1 species
GAUGAACGCUGGCGGCGUGCCUAAUACAUGCAAGUCGAGCGAACAGAUAAGGAGCUUGCUCCUUUGACGUUAGCGGCGGACGGGUGAGUAACACGUGGGUAACCUACCUAUAAGACUGGAAUAACUCCGGGAAACCGGGGCUAAUGCCGGAUAACAUUUAGAACCGCAUGGUUCUAAAGUGAAAGAUGGUUUUGCUAUCACUUAUAGAUGGACCCGCGCCGUAUUAGCUAGUUGGUAAGGUAACGGCUUACCAAGGCAACGAUACGUAGCCGACCUGAGAGGGUGAUCGCCCACACGGCAACUAGAACACGGUCCAGACUCCUAGGGGGGGCAGCAGUGGGGAAUCUUCCGCAAUGGGCAAAGGCCUGAGGGACCAACGCCGGGUGGGUAAGAAAGGUCUUCGAAUCGAAAAACUCUUUUAUUAGGAAAAAACAAAUGUGAAAGUAACUGGGCCCGUUUGGACGGUACCUAAUAAAAAAGCCCCGGCAAACUAGGG